AAAAGUAUUCUCACCCCACGCCCCAAAAAAUAAAAUUUUCACUAUAAUUGAUAUUUGUACAAUGAUAAGAAUAAAGGAAAAUACAAAUACAAAAAAAAUUCAAACUCUUCUUUGAAUAUCAUUUCCGGCUAGUAUUCCCGAGAACCAAAAGAAUAUCAUUCCCGACGAGUAUUCCCGAGAAUCUACACAAAUGCUUGUAAUAAAAAUAUUAGUAACAAAUAAAUAAUUAUCAAAAUAAAUUUAAAAGGUAUGUGUGCAUAUAUGUAUUUAAAAAUAUAUUUUUUUGCUAAAAAAAUAGGCUCAAAUUAGAUUUAAGAUACAACUUGGAUACGAAGUAGUUGCUGAUUUGUUAGCCAUCCUAAAAAAACUUUUUGCGUUGUUAUAAAAAUUUCAUCAUCGCCCAAAUUUAUUUAUUUUAUUACGUAUUUAUAUAUGCAAUAUCCGUCUUUUAUAAUGAGAUGACCUCAAAUAUCUAAUCGGAGAGAUAAUUUCAUUGGAGAAUAGCAUAGUAUUUGUUCGUUAUUAAUUUAAUAAAAUUAAUAUGGACAAAAAUGUAAUGUAAUUGCCCAAAAGAGAGACAAUAGCAGCCAUGAAACUAGCAUAGCAACAACCCAAAACAAAGGCAAUAACAACUAUGAUACCCGCAAAGAAACAACCAAAAUAAAGGUAAUAACUGCUAUGACACCAGCAAAGUAACAACCAAAAUAAAGGUAAUAACAGCUAUGAUACCAGCAAAGUAACAACGAAAAUACCCGAACAAAUCACAAAUCUACUAAAGAUUUGAAAAAAAAUGAUAUAAUGAACAACAACAAAUAGAUCAAGCAAAUAAUUACAACAUAUACAAAUAUGUAUCAAAGAAGAGGUCAUCGGAUACGACAUCUUGUCUGCCAGAUCCGUGUAAAACAAAGCCCACAACAUACAAAAUUAAUGAGACGCAGUUCAUCAGAAGUAAAACUCGAAGCAAUGGUAAUUACCAUUACCGGCGUUGCUUUAACGACUUUCGCCGAAGCAACGCCGGAUACACAAAGCUCCGGACAGAUCUGGUGGUUUCUCACUGGGGGGAUUCGCCGGAAAUGCAAAAAAGGAGGGCGGCGCCGGUAGUUUGGGCUAGAGCUCGCCGGAGAUGGAGGAAGAGGAUAGAAGGGAGAGAGGGGUGGUGGUGCCUGGUGGUUUGCCGAAAUUCGGCCAUAGCUCACCGAAGAGAGGAGAGAAAAAAAAGGUCCACUGAUUUUGUGCGUAUGUGCUUGUAUUUUGUGUGUAGUGUGUGGGUGGA
rnacentral:lncRNA from 1 species